GAAAUUUCUAGAACGGGUUAACUAAGCCAAGCAAAUCCACUCUAGAUAAGGGUGGUUCUCCUCCACGGGCCGGAGCCUCAGACCAAAUAAAAGGACAAAGUGACCUACUACCUCUCUAGCAUCUACUGCUCUUCCUGACUGUAGAUGUCACAUGACCAGUCGCCUCAAGCUCUUUCUGCUGCCAUGACUCCCCCCCCAACACCGCCGUGUUGGGGGUACAUUCAAACUGUGAGCCAAAACAAACUCUCCUUAACUCCAAUGCUCCCCCACCAAUAGACUAUUAAAAUUCAGAUUUUUUGUGGUGUAUUUUAUUAUAUUAACAGGGAAAGUAAGGCAGUAUGCAUCUUCCCCAAGCAUCUAGGUAGGACUUGUCUUUCUUGGUUAUAAACACACACACACACACACACACACACACACACACACACACACACACACACACACACCAUAGAGAAGCCCUGUCUCAGAAAAAACAAAUCCAACCAACCUGAGUCUAUACAUGGAUAGUCUGUGCUGAAAUGAGUGUCAAGGUGACAGAAGGGACCAUAGUGACACUUUCAGUUCUCCUAGUUUGGCCAAUCUGACUCACUCAGGUGAUGAGAUCAGCAGCGGGUGACAAUUUGCCAAGAAGGUGUGGGGUGCUUCUUCGGGGCAACAGCCCUUCAGAUUGUCCUUACAGAUGUCUUUGAUUUUACGCUCACUUACAUAUCCUUUCCCAUGGGGAUGGGUUGCGAUACCCGCUCUCAUUUUCCUCAGCGCCCUGGGGGCGUGGCCAUGGCGAGGAUGUAGGAAGCGCACUCCCGAAAAAGAAUUGGUUGUGCAAGUUCACCUCCGUAGGCAAAUCUGGCCCCCAGCCCUUCUUUCCUAGCUCAGCCAUGUGCACGAUAGCUUCUGAGGUGAUUGGGCACUCGCGGUGAGACUUCAAGAACAGGGCUCCAUUUUGUUUCUGUUUGUGAGACAAGGUCUCACUGUAACCCAGGCCACCCUCUAAGACAGCAGAGAAUGACUUUGAGCUACGGACCUUCCCACGUCCCCUUCUGAAAGUGCUGGGGUCAGCAGCAAGGGCCACCAUCCUGCUUUAGGAAGCACUAGAAAUAGAACCGAGGAUUUGAUGCACGCUGGGCAAGGCACUCUGCCAGCGGAGAGAAGGUUCCAGCCCUGAAAAAAAAAAUCUUUCCGUAUAAAUUGUGUUCCAGGUUGCCUUCAGCUAUUAUUCUCUCUCUCACACAGAAAAAUAUUGUAAUGCGACUUCAUGUCCAAAAUCUAAAAUUGUGGAUUUGUAAACACUUGAGUGACUUAGCAGAACAACAACAAGAACACUUGUUGUUUUUUAACUUGGUAAGCAGGAUCUCACUCUGCAUGGAUGAAUUCCACUGUGAAACUCAGCCACGGCCACACUAACUUUCAAACACCCGCCACUGUCUACUGAUUGUCAAUAGACGUUAGAUGUCACGUACACUGCAGCUAAGUGAAAAGCUAGAAGGGUCAGGAAGCGCAGUAAGCCAAGCUGGCCAUGCCACGGAUUGCGAGUUCUGUGCUUUCUCUGCACGCUGUUCAGCGCAACACCCCCACCCUCCCUCCUCCUCCUGGGAAUAGAGAGGGCAUUGCUUUCACAGCAACCUUAAAUACAGAGUACAGAAAAAAAGAAAGCCGAUGGCUUUUUCUAUCACACCAUGUGAUAGAAACCAUAUCUGAAACUUCUAAAGUGGCCCAGAACAUGAGGCCAGGUAAGCCAUGAGCCUAGGGGAAAACCGAAUGCAGUUGUUCUGCUAACGGACUCCUAAUGACACGCUGUUGUACCAUAGACCAGUGCUGAGGACAGCCCUCAUCAGAAACGCUUCUUCCUCUUGCAGCAGACGGGAACUAACAGAGACCCCCAAGUGGACAAUAAGAAUAAGAAACUUUGGGUUGGGGAUUUAGCUCAGUGGUAGAAUGCUUGCCUAGUAAGCGCAAGGCCCUGGGUUCGGUUCUCAGCUCCGAAAAAAAAAAAAAAGAAUAAGAAACUUUGGAACAUACAAUCCUAAAUGGGACAUCUUCAUCAAAUCUCUUCCCUCGAUGCUCGGGGAUCCCUGCAGAAGAGGAGGCAUUAGAGAGAGAUUCUAAGAGCCAGAGGUGGUGGAUGACUCCAAGGAGACAGGGUUUUUCCAGACACAAAAAAACUAACAUACAUGAAUUCACAGAGACUGUGCUGACAUGCAUAAGAUCUGCAAGCCAGACAGUGGAGAGGAAGUAGACACCAGCUGCCAGCCUUACCCAAGAAACUAACUAUAGUUGAUACCCACUAGCAAAGGGAAAAUCAGUUUUCUUCAGUGCAGUCUCACUGGGCCUGUCAGCCACACUUCCGGGUAAGCCCCACAGCCUGAACUAGCUGGGCAACAUGAAAGAAAUUCAAUGGCGUUUUUCAUAUUGCUUUAUUUGGUUUUGUUUUUUGUUUUUUGUUUUUUGUUUUUUGGUCUUUUGUCUAUUUUGAUUUUCAUUUGGGAGGGAGUGUUUAGGGUUGCUUUUUGGUUUUUGUUUUUGUUUCUUGCUUUUUUUUUUUUUUUUAAGAGAGAGAACAUAAAAUUGGGUGAUUAGGAAGAUGAGGAGGAGCGGGCUGGAGAGAUGGCCUCAGUAGUUAGAAGGACUGACUGCUCUUCCAGAGGUCCUGAGUUCAAUUCCCAGCAACCACAUGGUGGCUCACAACCAUCUAUAAUGGGAUCUGAUGCCCUCUGUUGAUGUGUCUGAAGACAGAUACAGUCCUUUCAAAGCCACUCUGGUGCACACUUGUCAGUGCAUUGAUUCUGAAGACUGAGCACUCAGGUGUCUGUUUGGAUAGCUCUGCACAAGCUGGUUACGUCUCUCAGUCUUCUGGAUUGUUCUAAUAGAACUGGUCCAAGGUUUGGCUUAUAUUUCUAUAUUACAGUCUACCAACGACGAAGGCCAGGGUACUUGAACAAAGCAGGAACCUGGAGGCAGGAACUGAUGCAGAGGUCAUGGAGGGGUGCUGCUUACUGGCUUGCUCCACACGGCUUGCUCUGUCUGCUUUCUUAUAGAACCCAGGACCUCCAGCCCAGGGAUGGGACCGCCCACAAUGGGCGGGGCAUCCCCCCAUGAAUCACUAAUUAAGGAAAUGCACUAUAGACCUGCUUACGGACCCAUCUUAUAGAGACAUUUACUUAAUUGAGGCUCCCUCCUCUCAUGACUUCAGCUUGCUUGCGUCAAACUGACAUAAAACUGGCCGGCCCAAGCUCAAAGCACACCCCAGAUCCAACCGACAUUGAUAAGGAACUGUUCCACCUAGUUUUCGAAAAGAACAACGUGCUCUGCGUUAGUAACACCGCAUUUAGCCGUGCUUCCUUAAAGCGUCUGCUGUUCUUUUAGAAAGGCACGUUCUUGCAAUUAGCGCGGUAAACCCGGCUGCAAAGGACAGAGGAGGAGCCUAAGAAACCCCAAGCUUUGGCUCCAUCUCUGCUCCCAGUAACAUCAAUGCUAUGGACGAACGGUUUGUGCUCCGCUUACAAAACUGGCGUUGUAAGAAACGUUCCUCCCUCCCAAGAAUUAUGGGGAGAUGAAUAUCAGCGGCGGCGCCUUGAGCUGCAACAUAAAAUCCGAGUUAGUCUUAUUUUUAGUUCAGAAAGCUUAGAAGUAAAUCCCAUAUUGUUCUAGCAUUUCUAUCAUGGUCAUUGGUCCAAACUGUUUUUUUAAUGUGGGAUGUUUAUUUGGCUCUUCGUGCAAGAGAUAGACCAAAAAGCAAGGAGGAGGGGACGGGGGAAAGAAGCCAUAUAAAAAGACAAAUACAGAGAGGAAGCGAGUGAGACAACUUUGAUUAAUGUAGUAUGCUAAAAAUGACUUCAAGAAAUGAAAGGGCUCAGUCAGAUGAUUUCAAGAUUCAAAGCUUCGCCAGCCGUUUCAGACCAAAGCUGAAGAGAUGAAGCCAAAAAAUUCUGCAUGCAGGAUCAGAAAAGGGCAGACGCAGAAGGCACAGACACCAAAGUGAUUUUCACCAGCAGAGACGAAAGGCAUAAAUGCAGAGUCUAUGGAUCGAAGAGAAGCAUAUUUGAAAGCAUCUGAUUCUAUCUCAAAUUGCCCUUGCAGAAAGAUUGUACCAACGUUGACUCUUGCCAGCAAUGCACGAGAGCCAGUUGUCCAAUACUCUCUCCUUUGGGAGGAAAAAAAAAAGUCAUUUCCAUUCUCUACAAUGUCAGAAAUAUACCAAUAUAUGUCAACA